rnacentral:rRNA from 1 species
UACGUAGGGGGCGAGCGUUGUCCGGAGUUACUGGGCGUAAAGCGCACGCAGGCGGUCGGCCGCGUAGGGGGUGACAGUCCUCGGCUUAACUGAGGAAGCGCUCUCUAAACGGGUCGACUUGAGGGCCAGAGAGGGACACGGAACUCCGGGUGGAGCGGUGAAAUGCGUAGAGAUCCGGAAGAACACCGAAGGCGCAGGCAGUGUCCUGGCUGGCUCCUGACGCUCAGGUGCGAAAGCUAGGGGAGCAAACAGG